rnacentral:rRNA from 1 species
AUUGAACGCUGGCGGAAUGCUUUACACAUGCAAGUCGAACGGUAGAGGGGGCAACCCCUCGAGAGUGGCGAACGGGUGAGUAAUAUAUCGGAACGUGCCCAGUCGUGGGGGUUAACGUAGCGAAAGUUACGCUAAUACCGCAUACGAUCUAAGGAUGAAAGCGGGGGAUCGCAAGACCUCGCGCGAUUGGAGCGGCCGAUAUCAGAUUAGGUAGUUGGUGGGGUAAAGGCUCACCAAGCCAACGAUCUGUAGCUGGUCUGAGAGGACGACCAGCCGCACUGGAACUGAGACACGGUCCAGACUCCUACGGGAGGCAGCAGUGGGGAAUUUUGGACAAUGGACGCAAGUCUGAUCCAGCCAUUCCGCGUGCAGGAUGAAGGCCCUCGGGUUGUAAACUGCUUUUGUACGGAACGAAAAGGUCUCUCUUAAUACGGGGGGCUCAUGACGGUACCGUAAGAAUAAGCACCGGCUAACUACGUGCCAGCAGCCGCCGUAA